rnacentral:rRNA from 1 species
UACGGAGGGUGCAAGCGUUAUCCGGAUUCACUGGGUUUAAAGGGUGCGUAGGUGGGUUGGUAAGUCAGUGGUGAAAUCUCCGUGCUUAACAUGGAAACUGCCAUUGAUACUACUGAUCUUGAAUUUUCUGGAGGUAAGCGGAAUAUGUCAUGUAGCGGUGAAAUGCUUAGAUAUGACAUAGAACACCAAUUGCGAAGGCAGCUUACUACACAAUGAUUGACGCUGAGGCACGAAAAGCGUGGGGAUCAAACAGG